UCGAACAGAAGAAAAGAGGGUGAAAACCCUUGUUCAUGCUAACCUACUCAAUUAAUCAAGAAAUUCAAGCCUAAAUCAGUUGCAUGUCUCAAGUUUAUCGAUUAUCUAUGUAUAUCUAGUGAAGUGGUGUGAAGGAAGAAGGUUCGAAUUCUAAGAAGCCGGAAGGAUCACAAGACCGAGGUAAAUCCUCGACUUAGGCGAUUGGACGGCUUGGAACGUGCACACUUGGUUUACGCCCACUACUCGCUUCCGUUGUUAAGCCUUUUGGAAUGGGUUAAGUCUUGGUCAUAUGUAUUUAAGUUUAGGUAGUAUGUUGACAUCUUUGUCGUAGGGUAAAAACUUGGUAGUUGGAGUCAUGUCGUGACUAAUGUGGACUUUGUUUGUUUUCGGGUUUUUGUCAAGGAUGUUUAAUGUUUAAGUUUGGUGUGUAAAACAGGUAGUUAAUGAUGUUAA